GACGAACGCUGGCGGCGUGCCUAACACAUGCAAGUCGAACGGAGUUCCUUCGGGGACUUAGUGGCGAACGGGUGAGUAACGCGUGAAGAACCUGCCUUUCAGUGGGGGACAACAGUUGGAAACGACUGCUAAUACCGCAUAAUGUUAUUUGGGGGCAUCCUCGAAUAACCAAAGAUUUAUUGCGCAAGGAUGGGCUCGCGUCUGAUUAGAUAGUUGGCAGGGUAACGGCCUACCAAGUCGACGAUCAGUAGCCGGACUGAGAGGGUGAUCGGCCACAUUGGGACUGAGACACGGCCCAGACUCCUACGGGAGGCAGCAGUGGGGAAUAUUGCACAAUGGGGGAAACCCUGAUGCAGCAAUGCCGCGUGAGUGA
rnacentral:rRNA from 1 species